GNUAGUGUGGCAGAGCNUGGUAAGUGCAAAAGGNUUAAGCCCUUUACCCAGAGGUUCAAAUCCUCUCCCUAGCU
rnacentral:tRNA from 1 species